GAAAUCUAGCACUUUCAGUGUUCGAGUUGUAAUUUGAAGAAGGUAACUUUGGUUUUGGCUCUUGUCUAUGUUCCUUGGAACAGGACGUCACAGAGGGUGAGAAUCCCGUGCGAUGAGAUGCCCAAUUCCAUGUAAAGUGCUUUCGAAGAGUCGAGUUGUUUGGGAAUGCAGCUCUAAGUGGGUGGUAAAUUCCAUCUAAAGCUAAAUAUUGGCGAGAGACCGAUAGCGAACAAGUACAGUGAUGGAAAGAUGAAAAGAACUUUGAAAAGAGAGUGAAAAAGUACGUGAAAUUGUUGAAAGGGAAGGGCUUGAGAUCAGACUUGGUAUUUUGCGUUCCCUUCCUUUUUGGUUGGGUUCCUCGCAGUUUACUGGGCCAGCAUCGGUUUGGAUGGUAGGAUAAUGACAUUGGAAUGUAGCUUUACUUCGGUGAAGUGUUAUAGACUUUGUUGAUACUGCCUAUCUAGACCGAGGACUGCGUCUUUGACUAGGAUGCUGGCGUAAUGAUCUUAAGCCGCCCGUCUGA
rnacentral:rRNA from 1 species